UACGUAGGGGGCUAGCGUUGUCCGGAAUCAUUGGGCGUAAAGAGCGUGUAGGCGGCUUGGCAAGUCCGCUGUGAAAGUCCAGGGCUCAACCCUGGAAAGCCAGUGGAAACUGUCAAGCUAGAGUCCGGAAGAGGCGAGUGGAACUCCUGGUGUAGCGGUGAAAUGCGCAGAUAUCAGGAAGAACACCAAUGGCGAAGGCAGCUCGCUGGGACGGUACUGACGCUGAGACGCGAAAGCGUGGGGAGCAAACAGG
rnacentral:rRNA from 1 species